rnacentral:rRNA from 1 species
UACAGAGGUGGCAAGCGUUGUUCGGAUUUACUGGGUUAAAGGGCGCGUAGGCGGUGCGCUAAGUCGGUGGUGAAAUACUUCGGCUCAACCGGAGAAUUGCCGCUGAAACUGGCGUGCUCGAGGGAGGUAGAGGUGCGUGGAACUUCCGGUGGAGCGGUGAAAUGCGUUGAUAUCGGAAGGAACACCUGUGGCGAAAGCGGUCCACUGGGUCCUUUCUGACGCUGAGGACGAAAGCUAGGGGAGCGAACGGG